rnacentral:rRNA from 1 species
GCAGUCGAGCGGCAGCACAGAGAACUUGUUUCUCGGGUGGCGAGCGGCGGACUGGUGAGUAAUGCCUGGGAAAUUGCCCUGAUGUGGGGGAUUUUCAUUGGAAACGAUGGCUAAUACCGCAUGAUGCCUACGGGCCAAAGAGGGGGACCUUCGGGCCUCUCGCGUCUGGAUAUGCCCAGGUGGGAUUAGCUAGUUGGUGAGGUAAGGGCUCACCAAGGCGACGAUCCCUAGCUGGUCUGAGAGGAUGAUCAGCCACACUGGAACUGAGACACGGUCCAGACUCCUACGGGAGGCAGCAGUGGGGAAUAUUGCACAAUGGGCGCAAGCCUGAUGCAGCCAUGCCGCGUGUGUGAAGAAGGCCUUCGGGUUGUAAAGCACUUUCAGUAGGGAGGAAGGUGGUAGUGUGAAUAGCGCUAUCAUUUGACGUUACCUACAGAAGAAGCACCGGCUAACUCCGUGCCAGCAGCCGCGGUAAUACGGAGGGUGCGAGC